rnacentral:rRNA from 1 species
UACGUAGGAGGCAAGCGUUGUCCGGAGUUACUGGGCGUAAAGCGCACGCAGGCGGUCGCAUCAGUCUGGGGUGACAGUUCCCGGCCUAACCGGGAAAGUGCUCUGGAAACUGUGCGACUUGAGGGCUUCAGAGGGAUGUGGAAUUCCGGGUGGAGCGGUGAAAUGCGUAGAGAUCCGGAGGAACACCGACGGCGCAGGCAGCGUCCUGGCCGCUUGCUGACACUGAGGCACGAAAGCUGGGGGAGCAAACAGG